UGCAAGUCGAGCGGAUGAAGGGAGCUUGCUCCCUGAUUCAGCGGCGGACGGGUGAGUAAUGCCUAGGAAUCUGCCUGGUAGUGGGGGACAACGUCUCGAAAGGGACGCUAAUACCGCAUACGUCCUACGGGAGAAAGCAGGGGACCUUCGGGCCUUGCGCUAUCAGAUGAGCCUAGGUCGGAUUAGCUAGUUGGUGAGGUAAUGGCUCACCAAGGCGACGAUCCGUAACUGGUCUGAGAGGAUGAUCAGUCACACUGGAACUGAGACACGGUCCAGACUCCUACGGGAGGCAGCAGUGGGGAAUAUUGGACAAUGGGCGAAAGCCUGAUCCAGCCAUGCCGCGUGUGUGAAGAAGGUCUUCGGAUUGUAAAGCACUUUAAGUUGGGAGGAAGGGCAUUAACCUAAUACGUUGGUGUUUUGACGUUACCGACAGAAUAAGCACCGGCUAACUCUGUGCCAGCAGCCGCGGUAAUACAGAGGGUGCAAGCGUUAAUCGGAAUUACUGGGCGUAAAGCGCGCGUAGGUGGUUUGUUAAGUUGGAUGU
rnacentral:rRNA from 1 species